rnacentral:rRNA from 1 species
UACGGAGGAUGCAAGCGUUAUCCGGAAUGAUUGGGCGUAAAGCGUCCGCAGGUGGCUAUGUAAGUCUGCUGUUAAAGAGUGAGGCUCAACCUCAUAAGAGCAGUGGAAACUACAUGGCUAGAGUGCGUUCGGGGCAGAGGGAAUUCCUGGUGUAGCGGUGAAAUGCGUAGAGAUCAGGAAGAACACCGGUGGCGAAAGCGCUCUGCUAGGCCGCAACUGACACUGAGGGACGAAAGCUAGGGGAGCGAAUGGGAUUAGAAACCCUUGUAGUCC